rnacentral:lncRNA from 1 species
AUGAUCCCUUUUGUUCCUCCCAGCUGCGAAUGCCCUCUUCGGAACUCCUGUUCACAUAGUUGCCAUGUUGUGGAAUCCUGGCUCUGGUCCUUCUUUCAGAAAUUUUGGGAACUGCCUGUCAUGUAUCUGACAGAUCAGCCUCGUCUCAUCUCAUCUCUCACAACAACUCCACGGUACAUCCAUUCAAAAUUGAAGAAUCAGGUCCAGAGGGAUCUCCUGGACGGCCUAGGAUCACAGAGCAAAGCAGAAACCACAGCUGUCUCGGAGGACAGAGCUCCAGCUCUUCACCGAGAGACAGUCGUUGGAUGUCGUUGGAGUGGCUUCAGGGCCCACUAGGGCCUUUGUUACCAGUUUUCUCUUCCCCGUGGUCCUUUUGUUGCAUAAUCAAUAAACCACUAACAGAAA